CCCUCCCCAGGAUGUCUUCUUCUUCAUGAAGAAGUGAACAACAAACCCAAGAAAAGGAAGAGGAGGCAGCAACUACACAGUGAACAUGAGAGGAGAUACGCUGCUUCUUCUUCUCCAUGUUUCAUCACCAUUAGAGCUCUUCAGAUCUGUUUCUUCUUCAUAAGACAUCUUCAACCUAGCAUCCAUCACCUUGAAUCUCCAGAAAAUGAAUAACUCCGACCCCUAAAUCAGUUCUCGAUCUCCUCCAGAACCCUAGAGUAGCCUUCGUCAGUGUCGUACUAGACGACCACCCAACUCCACGCACACCAGAUACUCUACUCGCCGAAAAUGCCAUGAAAUCCAGUGAAACUGCAUGAAGACCGAUGAACUCUUUUGCUUCUACACUCUAUCAUAUGUGGUCGUUUCCACCUCGCAAGCCGACGCCGGAAAAGUUUUUGUGGUAACGGCGAACCCAGCAUGAAAAUCA
rnacentral:lncRNA from 1 species